UGAUCCACCACUUUUACCCCGUAGUUAUACUGUGUUGAUACAUUUGGACAUCUGUUCUUAGAAUAUAUGCAGCAAAGUUUUUUAAGCCUGCACGAUUUGUAUUGCAGAAUCAUAGGAAUGUUCUUCUAGAGUUGAACUUGCAAUGAUUCCAUAAUUCAUAUCGACAGUAACAUUUUCAUCACAUUGUUCACCUUUUUUUUGCAAAAACCAGUAAUGCUCAUGCUGGUGCAAUACUUGACUCCUUGAGUGGCGUAAAUUUGUGCAUUGUUCAUCAUAUAUGAAUUCUAUAUUAUCCUCUUGCUUUUUGAAGCUAUGUUGGCAUGGUGGUUUUCUCACAAACUAAUACUUGCCCAUGAAUCAUUUGAUUUAUCAGUGUUCCUGAGCAUAGUAACAGAAACCAGAGAUUUCACCACGGCACUACUCAUAUAAUACUAAGAAAGUUGCCUUAAUCCUUGUUCUCUAUAGGAUGAUUGAAGCAUAGAUUGCUUGCAUUAGGUUAUACUGGACAAAAGCUAUUUCUGUCAUAAUCCAAUGCUAGUGUCUCUAAUGCUGUGUCAGACUUUUAUGAUAAGGUGCGUGGGUUUCCCAAUAUAUACUUGGGUAGCCAAGUCAAACAUGCUGCACCAUCCUUCUGUGUGUCCAUUCUUCUGCUGUAUCUCCCUAUAAUCAAUCUGCUCAUGGACCAUUUCAUGGGCUCUCGGUGACAGUGAGUUUGGUUCAAAGAGUAAUGGGGUCCUGAUGAAAAACAAAAGUUUAGCUAAUUUCAAGGUGGCACAUAGUAUUAGCCCAUCAGAAACAUACAGAUAUUCAGGUAUAGUAGUAAUAAGUAGAUCAGGUUUCGGAUGUACAGAACUACGGCCACACACCCAACAAUCCUUUGUGUUGGUGUGUAUAGUUUAGGCCCAUCUAGAGGCCCAUGUAAUGGCUUCUAUAUUACCCACCCUUUCUAGGGUUUGGAGAAAUACAAGGAAAUUAAUCCCAAACAUGGUAUCUAGCCUUCUCUCCCAUCUCCCUCUCCCUCCCUCCCUCUAGCCGCCGGCGCCGCCGCCACCCCUCUCCUCCUUCCCUCCCCUCUCCUCUGCUCCCGGCACCGCGUCCUCCUCUGUUCUGGGCCU